rnacentral:rRNA from 1 species
AACCUCCGCAAUGUGAGAAAUCGCGACGGGGGGAUCCCAAGUGCCAUUCUUAACGGGAUGGCUUUUCAUUAGUGUAAAGAGCUUUUGGAAUAAGAGCUGGGCAAGACCGGUGCCAGCCGCCGCGGUAACACCGGCAGCUCUAGUGGUAACAAUUUUUAUUGGGCCUAAAGCGUCCGUAGCCGGUUUAAUAAGUCUCUGGUGAAAUCCUGUAGCUUAACUGUGGGAAUUGCUGGAGAUACUAUUAGACUUGAGACCGGGAGAGGUUGGAGGUACUCCCAGGGUAGAGGUGAAAUUCUGUAAUCCUGGGAGGACCGCCUGUUGCGAAGGCGUCUAACUGGAACGGUUCUGACGGUGAGGGACGAAAGUUAGGGGCGCGAACCGGAUUAGAUACCCGGGUAGUCCUAACUGUAAACGAUGCGGACUUGGUGUUGGGGUGGCUUUGAGCUGCUCCAGUGCCGAAGGGAAGCUGUUAAGUCCGCCGCCUGGGAAGUACGGUCGCAAGACUGAAACUUAAAGGAAGU